rnacentral:hammerhead_ribozyme from 1 species
AUCCAGCUGACGAUUCCCAAAUAGGACGAAACGCGCAUUCUGGAU